rnacentral:SRP_RNA from 1 species
GCCGGGCAUGGUGGUGUGUGCCUGUAAUUCCAGCUACUUGGGAGGCUGAGGCAGGAGAAUCACUUGAACCUGGGAGGCGGAGGUUGCAGUGAGCCAAGAUCAUGCCACUGCACUCCAGCCUGGGCAACAGAGUGAGACCCUGUCUCAA